UUCCAGCUCCAAUAGCGUAUAUUAAAGUUGUUGCAGUUAAAAAGCUCGUAGUUGGAUUUUGGAUAUCGUUCGUCGGUCCGCCGCAAGGUGAGUACUAACGAGUGGUGUCUUCCGGCUGAAGGCUGUGUGUGCUCUCUGAGUGUGCAUAGAAUUCAGCCAAUUUACUUUGAAAAAAUUAGAGUGUUCAAAGCAGGCCUUUGGCUUGAAUACAUUAGCAUGGAAUAACAGAAUAGGACUUUGGCUCUAUUUUGUUGGUUUCUAGGACCGAAGUAAUGAUUAAUAGGGAUAGUUGGGGCAUUAAUAUUUAAUUGUCAGAGGUGAAAUUCUUUGAUUUAUGAAAGAUUAACUUCUGCGAAAGCAUUUGCCAAGGAUGUUUUCAUUA
rnacentral:rRNA from 1 species